UUUUUUGUUUUUUUUUUUUAAUUUCCUUUAUGGAGAUUCUAACCGCUCCACUGUUAGGACAUUGCCCAGGGGAGGAGGGAGAAGCAGAAUUGGGCUCAGAGGCAAAUAAGGUGAAGGGCUCCGUGGGACCCAAGGGCAGUUGCGAUGCAGAGAGAGAAGAAACAGAAAGAAAAAAAAAAACAGUUAAUGAUUCAACAUCUCCCUCUGGGUUCUUAAUUUCUUUUCUUUUCUUUUUCUUUUUUUUUUUUUGUCUUUUUAGGGCCACACCCGCGGCAUAUGGAGAAAUAGCAAAAAGACAAAAAAAAAAAAACAAAAAAAAAAACAAAAAAAACCAAAAAACACCUAGGUAAACCUUGUGACAUUCUCUUCUGCUCACAAAAGCCACCCCAGAAGCCUUCAAAAAUCCCCAGGAAUAAUCUGGAUCUCCUAUCUUCUCCCCUCCGUGUAUUGGUGGGCAACAUGAGUCAGUGUCCUCUAGAGCAAGCCUGGGUCUUAACUGGCACCAGUGCCCAAAUCCAGACCCAGUGUGAGCUGGCCGACCUGGUUCAGAUUGUGAAUGCAUUCGUUGACUGGCGCUAAGCCAGGCCAGAGACUCCCACGUAGGAGAAAUACCAAGGAAAGAGGCUGAAAAUUACUUUUUAAAAAUACAUGUGCAUAUACAUAUAUUUGGUAUAUUUGUGUAUAUAUAUAUACAAAGGAUGACAAUAGCAACACCACUUUGUAUUAUCUUAUGUAGCACUGAUAACUCAUAAAGCUCUUCAGGCACACGACCCCCCCUUGAUUAAGUAAAUAAUGUAGCCACUCAGAGGCCAGCAGAGCUUUGGAAGGAGGACAAUGAGGAGUGACGCUGGUGUACUAGUGGCAUGGCCACUUAAGACAGGGUACCAAUACUACCUACUUCAUGGGCACCUAUCAGGAUCUCAGCAGAGAAUGUGUGAGCUGAGUGCCGAAAGCCCUGCCUGGUACACAGCCAAGGCAACAUGGGUCUGAGCUGCUGUCGCUGCGGCCAGCAUCCUUCUAAAAAACCCUGCGAGAUCGGAGGCACUGUUAUCCCCCUGGUGGAGGAAGCUGCCAGGCACAGAGAGUUUCACAGACCUGCCCGAAGGCCUGCCGCCGCAGGCAGGUACGCCUGCUUCCCAGGCCCUGGGCAGGUGGUGUCUACUGUGCUCCCUGCCUGCCCUGCUCUCUCCAACUUGACCACCAUCAGAAUGAGCUGGAGGGCUGCUUCAAAGAGACGGCAGGCCCCACCCCCAGGGAUUUGGAUUCAGGAGAUCCACAGCGGGGCUCAAGAAUGUGUGUCUUUGGAGUUCCUGCCGUGGCACAGGGGGUUAAGAAUCCAAAUGCAAGCAGCUCAGGUGGUGGCAGAGGUGUGGGUUUGAUCCCUGGCCGGGGGCAGUGGCUUAAAAGAUCCAGUGUUGCUGCAGCUGAGGCUCCAGCUUGGAUUCAGUCCGUCGUCCAGGAACUUCCAGAUGCUGUGGGCGCAUCUUUAAGUUCUCGGGCGAUGGCGAUGGUGCUGGAUCCGGGAGCCCACUGCGAGAAUGACGAAUGCCCUCUGACUCAGGGCAGCCCCGUGGGGGAGUCACACCCUCCCUUCCUUCCGCAGCAUAUCCGAUGCACACUCAUGGGCCCCCAAAGCGUUUGUCACCAGGUCGAGGCUUAGCAGAUGGCUUUAUUCUAUGAUUUUAUGUUGCUUUGUUUUAUUCUUGCCCUGAAUACACUCUGUCUGGCUCUCGACUCUCUCAGCUAACAGCCCUGCCUGGAUUUCUUUGCUCCCGGUGUGCAGGGCCCCUCGGAUUUGGAACAGGUUGUCCUCCUUCCAGCUGUGACCUUGGCCGCUCUCCGCAAAGGCUGCCUUUCCAGCUCGGCUCCCCUGUCUCUGAUUCGGCCCCUGAGCUUUCCUUGCCCAGGCCACAGCCUCCCAGGUGGGACCCGCGUGUGGCUCUCCGAUGGAGUCAGCGAAAGCCCCCGGGACCUACUUCCAGUGUGAAAGACGAGACCCUCUGCUCGCCAACAGGGGCACAAACGUAUUCCCCCGAAUCACAGCACAGCCACACAGCCGGAUGGAUGGACAAGACUCCUUCACCGGCUCUUUCAUUUCCUGUGUGCUGCUUGUCCAGCGAGGGAGGGAUGGAAGAGAGAAUGAAGAAGAAAGAGCGGGGAGAAACGAGCGGGGGCGUGGGGGCAGGAUUCAAGACAUGUGAACGCCUGUGGAUAGAAAUACUACGAUAAUUAGUAUAAUAAUAACGACAACGACGGUAAUAAUAAACGGAGCGAGUACCAGCAGAGUGUUCAGAGCUCAAGAGUAUUUUGACAACAAAUGCUCGUGUUUCCUUGGAAAUUUAUGAAAGCUUUGUGCCUGUAAUCCCACGAGCAGCAACAUGGUAAAUGAAAGGGGCAGACAGUCGACAUUAAUGAUAUUUUGCUUCGCCGUUGGAAGAGCAUUUGAGAGAAGCAGCUCGCUUCAGCUGUCCCCCGUUUUUACGGUUCUGGUAUUGGAACCGAUGAGAGCUUCGAAGAUGCGCUGGGAAAUAUUCAUGGGUAUGUUAUUAAUUUAUGGGAAACCGAAGGGCCCACCUCCGGGCUUAAGGAGGCCAUUUAGAAGCAGCAAGGCGGAGGGUGAGGUGCAGAGGAGCUCGCGGGGAACAAAAGGGUGCUGGGGGGCCGCGGGGCUGACAUCCAAGGCGGGAAGCGUCCCCUCAGUAAGCCAUAAUGGUUGAUAUUCUAAUAAAGCACUCUUAUGAGAAAAAGCAAUCUGUUCACAUACGAAUUCUGCCAUAUGCUUCCAUCUUUUCAUGGUCUGCAAGGCCACGUCAGUAAUUUCCAGUAGUUACGUGGGCACGCAGGAUGCCUUUACUGGUUAAUGUGAAUAAAUGGGCUGGAUUUACUGUUUUCCUAAUGCUCGAUCUACACACCCUGCAGGCUGCUACUGGAAGCCAAGUGGGAUUUAUGGGUUCGCACCGAAUCUCUAACAAACGCAGGAGCAGAGCCACGGAAAGCCAGACUGACUCCUCGGUCAGGCCACGGCUCCCUGGGCAAAGCCAAAGGCAGUUUCGGAGGAGAGGGGAGCCGGGCCCCCUAAGAAUGAGGCUAUUCAGUCGCGUAUGUGCAGAAGCACUGGUGGCUUCUGCAGAGGCUCGCACACCCCACACCUCUCUCGGGGAGCCCUCUGUCCCCAGCCCCAACCCGGCCUAGGGCUGACGUUCCCAUUUCUUUUUUAUUGUUUUGGCCGAGCUGGCAGCACACACAAGCUCCUGGGUCAGGAAUCGGACACAUGCCACAGCAGGAACACCACCAGGCCCCUAACCACUAGGCUACCAGGAAACUCCAUUUCUAAAUGGUCUUUUUUUGUUUGUCUCACAGUCAAUUUAUUUAUUUAUUUAGCUUUUCAGGGCCUCACUGGAGGUACAUGGACGUUCCCUGGCUAGGGGUCGCAUCAGAGCCGCAGCUGCCGACCUACACCACAGCAAUGCGGGAUCUGAGCCGCGUCUACAAACUACAUCACCGCUUAGAGCUUAUUUAUUUUUAAUUGAAGUGUACUUGAUUUACAGCGUCGUAAAGGUUCAGAUACACAGCAUCAUGCUUCAAUGAUACAAUCACCUCUCUGUCCUUUUUCUGAUUCUUCCCCUUUCAGGUUAUUGUGAGAUACUGAGUACAGUUCCCUGGGCUGUGCAGUAGGUCCUGGUUGGUUAUCUAUUUUAUAUACAGGGGUGUGUACCUGUUAAGGCCAACCUCCUAUCCAAAUUGUCUUUAAAUCCUGAUGUUUUCAUGCCGGUUGCCCCCCACCCCAAAAAUGAGCUGCGAAGAGCAAAUUUCUCAGAUCAGUCGACUUCACUUACGGGUUCUAAUAUCACAGGGUUUACCUUUGAAUAUCUCACCCAAAUCAAAACGCGACGGCAAGGAAAGCGAAUUCCCAUCCUGAGCAGUAACGUGCGGAGGCAAAGGGCAGAACGAGACCUGGAUCAGCACCGCCCCCCUCGGUGCUCCUGACACACGGGGCAGGCUAAUCCGUGGCAGAGUCUGCGCUGUGCACCAUGGGAUAUUCAGCAGCACCCCUGUCCUCUACCUGUCUGGUGCCCGUAGCCAUGUCCUCCCAAACCGCACCUGUUCCCAGACAUCCCUGGGCGGGGGGGAGCAUACCUGUGCUGCCCCAACAUACCUGUGCCUGCCUCCUGAAAUAGUCUGCAACUAUAUGAUUCUGCCUCCACAAAGAGGCAUCUCUAUCAGAACACAUAUUUGCCACCCAGAAGGGGAUAAUGUAAAAGGGGGGGUGGGGAAUAGGGACUAAAACAAGGAUAUACGGAUGGUACCUGCAGAACAGGUUUGCAAGGGGACUCAAAACUGAUAAAGGAAAGGAAGGAAGGGGCAGAGCGAAGCAGCGCUCCCCCCGAGGUACAGAGAGGGAAGUGCGUGCAUGGCACAGGGGAGCUGUAACCCUGGCUGGAUGGCAAAACUCCGAGGUGGGGGUCAACAACCCUAGGCCACAAAACCAGGGAGAACGGAGGAGCUGAGGCCCCAGGAGGGGGUGGGGGGGCCAAGAAUGGCUUUUCAAUGCCUACAUUACCUGCAACACAGCAAUAUAGACUUACAAACACCUUGCCGCACCUUCAGGAGAGAGAGAUCUAAAAGGCUGCUGGCAAGCUCAGCAGGAAAAAUAAACAGGAGUAAUAUGAGGCUGUCCAUCUGGCUGGGCCAUCGGACUCUCCCAUGGACAUAGCUCUCUCUCUCUCUCUCUCUCUCAGCAAAGAAGAUGUGCAGGAGGAGAAGUGUGUUUAAAGACCUGUGUUCGAUCUUAAAAGCAACAAAGAGGCAUUCCACUGGGUCACGUCCGCACGUCUUGCUCCAAACAACAGAGCUGAAGUCAUCAAAAAUGUUGACGUUUUAAGAAAAUGAGCUUUGAUUUCCUGUGACUUCCAAUAAACUCUGGCAUUGGCACUGUACCAGGGAAAAGUGGGGAUAUUCAUACCCCGAUUUAAGGAGCAUGGACUUAGGAAGGUCUUCUGAGUUCAUAGGAACCAUAAGUAACAUAUUUACGGGGCGUCCCCGCGACGUGAGGCCCUCAACCUACUACAGCCUCCACUGUUGAGUGUAAUAAACAUGAAGGUGAAGGAUUCAGGCAUACGGCCCUUGGAGUCAGAGAGGAACAACUGUACUAAGUCUACAGGUGUUACGGAGAAGGGUGCCUCGGGGUCCAAAGGCCCGCACGCUUAUGUCCAGAUGUUAGCCAGGUGUGAGCAGUUCCGCGGUGAGUGUGCUCUGCUCUUUCGCCCCUCGCUGUGAACUCAAGCACUGACGAAAACACGUCUCCAGAAAGGCUGGGUGCAUUUGGGGGAGGACUGUGGCUUUCGGAAGGGUACGCCUUUUAAGAAAAUCGCUCAAGUACUCAAAACAUCUGGGAGGCCAAAGCGGAUGCUUCUCUUCCACUCACCAUCAGGGUGGGAUGAAGAGAGGGACCCAUGGCGCCUCUGGACUUGGCCCGAGGCUCAGGCUGAGCCACGGCCUCUUCCUAGCACAGCGGUUUCUUCAUCAGCAAACUGGGUGCUCCUCUCUCUGCUGCAGGGUUGCUGCGAGGAUUAAGCCAGCAUUUUAAAGCACAAAAGGCAAAUCUGUGACAAAGCCAUUUUGCAAAUGAAAUGACUGCAGGCCUUUUGCAAGAAAGGCAUGCUCCAAAAUCAAACUGCUCCAGAGACUCAGGGGGCCCCUUCUUCUGGCAGGCAGUUGGAACCCCAGAGAAGCCCAGCUGGAGCUCCGGGCCCCCAAGUGGAGGUCUAUUCCCCCUACUGUACAAACACCAGGGGAAAUACCGUGCUGUUGCUUUUAUGAACUUCUAAAGCAAUAAAGACUUGUAGUCAAAGCACUCUUGCUUUGAAAAAGAAGUCAUUAAUACAUUUUAUGAAGUCAGAACCCAUUAGUGAAGACGGAGCGGAUGUGUCUGCUCGGUGAGGAUUAUCAAAGGGGGCACUGGACGUAUAGAUCGGGGCCUGGCUUUACACACCUUUAACGCCUGCAGAAGCCUGAACACAAAGGCUUCAGCCACCUGCAAUCUCGGAGCAGGUCCUGGUAUUGACGGGGCGCUUAGAGACAACAUCAAGCUGUCCUGGGGAGACUGACAGGCGCUCUUGAAGUGAACACAUAUGCAAUACAUUCCGCUGUACGCGUCAUAGAGAAUCACUGGCAGUGCUUAAAUAAUUCAGGGACGUAGUGGUAGCAGUGUAUUCAUACAUGCAGCCAGGCUGGGGCUGGAAAAGGCCUCGACGGAGAAGAAAAGAACCGGCUCGGGUGUAUCCUUUGGAGUUUGAGGCUAUAAAGAUAUAGAUGUGUCUGUCCUCUUUCCACCAAAUGCUAUCAGGUGGUCUUUCAACAAACAUUUCUGUCUCUCUCUCUCUCUCUCUUUUUUUUUUUUAGGGCUACACCCACAGCAUGAGGAAGUUCCCAGGCUAGUGGUGCAAUCGGAGCUGCAGCCACGGCAACGCCAGAUCCAAGCUGCAUGUGCUUGCAGUAAGGCCAGAUCCUUCACCCACGGAGCGGGGCCUGGGAUCGAACCCGCAUCCUCAUGGAUACCACUUGGGAUGUUAAUCUGCUGAGCCACAACGGGAACUCCCCAGCAAACAUUGCUUAGGUAACUGCCCGGUGCUUGAGGUAUCUGGCCCCAGACAGCACAGGGCCCUGCACUCCAAGUGUUGGUAGCGGAGGGGCUGGGGUGUUAGAAAGAGGGGAUUCUUUUUGAACUCGAUGAAUUUUAUUGUCUGUCGAUGUACAACCAUUGAAAGAGGGAACUGCUACAAUAGUAAGGAAGACUUCAGGGCUAUUUUGACAGGGGUCAAGGCCAGAGCAAUAGGGGGAGGGAUCAGACUCAACCCUGAAUACAGUAGAGUGGGGGGAGGGGCGAUGAAAAAUGACUAAGCCGAGACAUCAUGGGUGGAAAUUCUUGCUAAACUGACCUGCAGGACUCCUGCUGAAGGCAGGCCUGGGUGGUCAGAUUCUUUCCCAGCUGACUGAGGAUUCUUGCAAAUAAUGGGCUAUGCAGACCUGGCAAGGAUAAGGUCAAGGUCACGGUCUAGUCAAGAAGUGGGCUCAGAGGAACAUGACUAGAGUGGGCAAGGAGAGCCUUUGUCCAGGGGAGAAGGGAGGGGU
rnacentral:lncRNA from 1 species